GACGAACGCUGGCGGCGUGCCUAACACAUGCAAGUCGAACGGGACCAGGGGCAACUCUGGUUCAGUGGCGGACGGGUGCGUAACACGUGAGGAACAUGACCUUCGGCGGGGAGUAGCCGGCCCAACGGCCGGGUAAUACCGCGUACGACCUUUCGGGGACAUCCCUGGAUGGUGAAAGCAGCAAUGCGCCGAUGGAGUGCCUCGCGGCCUAUCAGCUAGUUGGUGAGGUAACGGCNCACCAAGGCGACGACGGGUAGCUGGUCUGAGAGGAUGGCCAGCCACAUUGGGACUGAGACACGGCCCAGACUCCUACGGGAGGCAGCAGUGGGGAAUAUUGCGCAAUGGACGCAAGCCUGAUCCAGCGAU
rnacentral:rRNA from 1 species